AGUGAACGCUGGCGGUAGGCCUAACACAUGCAAGUCGAACGGCAGCACAGGAGAGCUUGCUCUCUGGGUGGCGAGUGGCGGACGGGUGAGGAAUACAUCGGAAUCUACUCUGUCGUGGGGGAUAACGUAGGGAAACUUACGCUAAUACCGCAUACGACCUACGGGUGAAAGCAGGGGACCUUCGGGCCUUGCGCGAUUGAAUGAGCCGAUGUCGGGUUAGCUAGUUGGCGGGGUAAAGGCCCACCAAGGCGACGAUCCGUAGCUGGUCUGAGAGGAUGAUCAGCCACGCUGGAACGGAGACACGGUCCAGACUCCUACGGGAGGCAGCAGUGGGGAAUAUUGGACAAUGGGCGCAAGCCUGAUCCAGCCAUACCGCGUGGGUGAAGAAGGCCUUCGGGUUGUAAAGCCCUUUUGUUGGGAAAGAAAUCCAGCUGGCUAAUACCCGGUUGGGAUGACGGUACCCAAAGAAUAAGCACCGGCUAACUUCGUGCCAGCCGCCGCCGUAA
rnacentral:rRNA from 1 species